GACGUAGGGCGCGAGCGUUGUCCGGAUUUAUUGGGCGUAAAGAGCUCGUAGGCGGCUUGUUGCGUCGGCUGUGAAAACCCGUGGCUUAACUGCGGGCUUGCAGCUGAUACGGGCGGGCUAGAGUUCGGUAGGGGAGACUGGAAUUCCUGGUGUAGCGGUGAAAUGCGCAGAUAUCAGGAGGAACACCAAUAGCGAAGGCAGCUCGCUGGGACGGUACUGACGCUGAGACGCGAAAGCGUGGGGAGCAAACAGG
rnacentral:rRNA from 1 species